CGCUCCGCUCUGACUGGGGGAAGCGGCGGCAGCAGGCCCCGAGCGCCUCACGUGACCCGCCGCUUCCGCCAGCCGCCGCCAGGGGGCGCAGCCGCCGCCGGCCUCGAGUGCCAUGUUGGAGCCGGCGCUGGGGGCGACUCUGUGCCCGACCGAGGGGUCUCCCCGCUCCCUCACGCCCUGUUUGCCAACGUCCCCUCACAGACGGCGCCCCCCGAGUCGGACCGAGCCCCCCGACCCACAUCCCGCUGUCACGCGGCGCUGUCCCGCCCACCACGAAGCUGCCCUCAGUCCCGGUGCCGGGCGCUGCCCGCCGCUCUCCCCGACCCUCAGCUGAAAUUGCCCUGAGGCCGCUGCCCCGCGGGGAGGAGCUGCGAGUCCAUCCCCGACUCACCGUCUCCCAGCGCCUGGAUACAAACGCCCGUUACCGGUUCCUCGAUCGCCUCGCGCUCUCACGGCAGUUCCAUCGUUCCAUCGUCCCCCGGCUGUGCAUCCCGACCGGGACAGCUACGAGCGGGUAGGAACGGGCUGUGCCCACCUGCGGACACGGCAGCUGGAACCGAACUGACAACGGAGCAGAACUGCUGUCACUAUGAAUGUGAUAUUGAGGAGUGACCAUCCGUGCUGCUCCGGGCUGUGAGCAACGCGUGGCAUUGGGAACGGGGAGGAAGAAUAAAAACAGCACAGGAACCGCUUAGGAGAGAGCCUAAGGCUGCUACCACAGAAAACAUUAAGAUAUUGGAACAAUAAAGCUGCAAACAGAUGAAGAGAAGCCAGGAAAAAAACCCACUAAUUCACAGAAAUAGAUCUCCAGCCUGUUGUAUGGAAGCCUAAGAUGUUAAAGAAUCUACUGAGUGCUCGCUCAGGUGAGCUACAACUCCAACCAGUGGGAGCUGCAUGUAAGGAAAUCUUUUUAUUUGCAGGUAACUUAAAAAGUUUAUUGCAAGUACCCAACGCUCAACUGUUUUGUUAUAAACAGGAAAUGAAACACUGCCCGUUCUGAGAACUUAAAUAGGAGCAAAGAACACAGAGCUCAGUAUCUCAUGUCUGCAGUAAAAGAUUCAUUUCAGUGCAUGAUUCACUUAAGGCCCCUCUCACCCCCCAGCAAAGCUCAGUUUUGUUCUUUUCUGUAACUCAGCUCAACAUAUAGGUGAACAUGGGGAAUAUCUGAGAGCUGGUGAUACUUAUUCACUGAUGUUGAAGUCACAAGGAAAUAAGACAGACCCUCCUGGCUGUAGGCUUGUUCUGACAGCAGAAGUCAGUCUGCCUCCAUAGAUGACAGAACGGGACGCUGUGCCUGUUUGUAACAGCGAACAAACUGCCCUCUCCAUCAUCAUCCACCUGUCGAUUUCAGCCCUUUGGUGCAGGUGAUGGAUAAGGCCUCCAUUCCUGAGGGAAUUCAAAUCACUCAGAUGAUCCUGGUCAAGUUAUUACUCAGAACGAGCAGCGGAGGUUCCUUUAAAGUAUUCCUCAAUGCAACAGCAACCCCUAUUAAGCCUUUGUUAACUCUGUUUUGGGCUAUUCGGUGUGAUGCUAGGUGUCCCCUGGGUAUCUCAUGAACCUCCUGCAGUAACUGUAACAGGAGAUAAAACAAAUUUAGAGCUUAUUUCUAGAAGGUGCUAAGGAUGCUGACCCUGAUACAGAAUUGCUUAAUUUUAAGCACAUGAAAGAGCCACUGGAAUGAAGAGAUUACUACCAUGCCUGAAGUUAAAAGCAUUCUCACUGGUCUUUCUGGAUUAGAAUCAGAACAUUUAUCCAGUGGGAUCUAAUUCUUAAAUCCUCAGGAUUGUACUCCACAUUUAAUCUUGAACGUAUCAAUUCAGAUUAAAUGAUGCAAAACCAGCCAGAUUGUUGUUAUCAGUGUAAUUAAAAUACCUUUUAGUUAUCUCUGAAAUUGUUAUUUGGAAAAUACAGACCAUUUCUCAUUUAUGUGGAGUUACAUUUUAAUGCUGCUCUGAUUAAAAACAGACAGAAAUGACAUUUCAAAUAAGUAAAAUCCUCCUUACAGUUGCCAAAUAAUGUAAAAGACCUCAUCAUGAAGGUGAAUUUGGCUUCAUAUUCAUCAUAUGGCAAUAUAAGGUACAGUUCAUAAACUUGAGAAGACUUGGAAUUCAGCUGCCAUUAACACAACACACAGUUAAAGGCUGAGGUGAUUUCACUGCUUUGUAUGAAUUCUGAAACAGAAUUUGGAAGCCAUGGGUACAGAGAAAACAACAGAUGCUGGUCUAUUUUUGUUGUUAAAAUCAUACAAAAGAUUCCAUCUUGCUUGGAAUAAGGUCUCUAGAUUUGUCUCUGAAAUACAACACAGACCAAAAUUCUUUCCUCCCGGUGAGGCUGUUUAUCAUCAGAUUCAUCAAGAGAAAAUUAGUCUAAUAGUUGGCUACUAAAAAGGGGAAAGCUGAAAAGCCAGACGUUCCCUUCCUAUUUACAAUUAGUAGAAGUGCACACAGGGUGAAAAACCUGACAUGAUUUCUUUAGAACAGAGUCAAAAGUUGAUGUGUUCAGUGGCAGGCAGCUAUUCCUAAAAAGACCCAUCAGUCCAGGGAGCUCAGACGAUGGGACCAAUAAGCUGCUUCCUGAGGCGUUAUAUAAUUGUUGGUACAUAGCAGAGGGGUUUCAUUAUCCAAGAAAGUGAAUAAAAUUACUUUUCAUUCUA